rnacentral:piRNA from 1 species
UGCCCUGGGCGCCAUGAACUACUAAGUCC